GCGUCCUUAGUUCAGCGGUAGAACACCACCUUGACACGGUGGGGGUCGCUGGUUCGAUUCCAGCAGGACGCACCA
rnacentral:tRNA from 2 species